AUCAAUAAGCGGAGGAAAAGAAACCAAAUGGGAUUCCCUUAGUAACGGCGAGCGAACAGGGAACAGUCCAGCGCCAAGUCUUGACACUUUGGUGCUCAAGAGAUGCGGCGUUAAUGUGUUGGCGCGUCGUGCAUUGCUUGGCGUUUCAAGUUCCUUUGACAGGGACACCCAAAGUGGGUGCUAGGCCCAUAGAAGCGCAGAGCCGAUGCAUGCAGGCCGAUGCAUUCUAGAGUCAGGUUGCUUGAGAGUGCAGCUUAAAGUCGGUGGUAAACUCCAUCCAAGACUAAAUAUGACAGCGAGACCGAUAGCAAACAAGUACCGUGAGGGAAAGUUGCAAAGCACUUUGAAGAGAGAGUUCAACAGUACGUGAAACCACUGGGAGGAAAGCAGAUAGAACCACGAAGUUUGCGCUUCUGGCGAUUCAAUCAUUGCUGACCGGUAAUGGCGCCAGUCAGGGGAUCUUCACGGAGAUCAGGCUGGUGGUGUUGAGCCGGGCGGCAUUGGUGCAUUUCGUACAGAAGAUGCUAAGCCACGUUCGGUCAGAGGGCUGGGACAGCCGUAGGAAAGGAACCGAGAAAGGUGACCGUCAAACGCUUGCGUGUGGCGGUGUUAUAGGCUCGGUUUGGCACUGUCGCCAGCGAACUGGUCGAUAGAAUUGCUCCCCGAAUUGGAGUUUUGUGAACCGUGCUUGCCAUGAUCCAUUAGUGAACAUUUGGGGACGUCGUUUGCGUGCCUCCGGGUGCGGAAAGCCGUCAGCAAAGUUGUUAGCUCGAUUGGAUCACGUUGCAUGGUGCGGUGUUAAACUGUGGCGCGAGUAGGUCGGUGUCUAUCUGACCCGUCUUGAAACACGGACCAAGGAGCCUAUCAUAUACGCGAGUCGCUCGGUCUUGUUCAGGCCUGGGAGGCAAAAUGAAAGUGAAACUACGAUGCUCUAGGGCAGCAGUAGUGGCCCGCUUACUUCGUUUGUUUGGCGAUCAGGCGGAGCUGGAGCGUAUACGAUGGUACCCGAAAGAUGGUGAACUAUGCCUGGGCAAGACGAAGCCAGAGGAAACUCUGGUGGAGGUCUGUAGCGAUUCUGACGUGCAAAUCGAUCGUCAGACCUGGGUAUAGGGGCGAAAGACUAAUCGAACCAUCUAGUAGCUGGUUCCCUCCGAAGUUUCCCUCAGGAUAGCAGGCGUUCAUGGAACUUUUAGUAAAAGCAGUCUCAUCCGGUAAAGCUAAUGAUUAGAGGCCUUGGGGUUGAAACGACCUCAACCUAUUCUCAAACUUUAAAUGGGUGAGAUGGUUGACUUGCUUGAGAAAGAGAAAAACUUUGAAGCCAACCAAUUGGAUGCGAAUGCCUAGUGGGCCAUUUUUGGUAAGCAGAACUGGCGCUGUGGGAUGAACCAAACGUCGAGAUAAGGCAUCAAAUGCAUACGCUCAUCAGACCCCAUAAAAGGUGUUGGUUGCUAUAGACAGCAGGACGGUGGCCAUGGAAGUCGGAAUCCGCUAAGGAGUGUGUAACAACUCACCUGCCGAAGCAACUAGCCCUGAAAAUGGACGAUGCUGUAGCGUGGAGCCGAUACUCGACCGUAGUGGCGUUCCGUGGAGAAUGCGAUGUCACUACGAGUAGGAGGGCCGCAAUGAUAGCGUGGAAGAUGUCCGACGUGAGUCGGCUUGGAGCUGUCAUUGUUGCAGAUCUUGGUGGUAGUAGCAAUUACUCAAGUGAGAAUCUUGAGGACUAAGGUGGAGAAGGGUUCCAUGUGAACAGCAAUUGGACAUGGUUCAGUCGGUCCUAAGGAGGCGGAGAAAUCCGUUGCAACGGCUUUCUUAUUGAACAAAAGUGAGAAAAAAAAGAACAAAGAAAACAAAGCCGAAUCUCCGAAAGGGAAUCAGGUCAAUAUUCCUGAACUGAGACAUGGAGGAUGUGCCCUCGGGCACUGAUGCGGUAACGCAAUCAAAUUCGGAGACACCGGCAACAGUCCUGGGAAGAGUUGUCUUUUCUCUAUAAGGCACCGAAUCCAUGAAAACAGUUUGCCUGGAGAUAUGGACGAUGGUGCCGAAGAGCUCAGCGGUUCUUGCUGAGUCCGGUGCGCUGUUGUCGGUCCUUGAAAAUCCGAAGGCGAAUGCUACCUCCGUGCUCAGCCGUACCGAUAUCCGCAUCAGGUCUCCAAGGUUAACAGCCUCUAGUUUCUAGAAUAAUGUAGGUAAGGGAAGUCGGCAAAACUGAUCCGUAACUUCGGGAUAAGGAUUGGCUCUGAAGGAUGGGUCGUUCGGGCUGUGAUCAGAAGCAAGUGAUGCGCUGGCUAGAACUGGCCGCUGGGAACGGCUGCCGGAUCUGCGUCGGCGUUGGCUUGGGGACGGUCAUGGCUACGCCUCGGAAUCCUGUAUUUCGAGUGUCGUUUCGGGCGGCAUGUAACAUCCGAAUCAGAACUGGCACGGACCCGGGGAAUCCGACUGUCUAAUUAAAACAAAGCAUUGCGAUGGCCGGCGACCGGUGUUGACGCAAUGUGAUUUCUGC
rnacentral:rRNA from 1 species